GCUUACACAUGCAGUCGAACGAUGAAGCCCAGCUUGCUGGGUGGAUUAGUGGCGAACGGGUGAGUAACACGUGAGUAACCUGCCCCCGACUCUGGGAUAAGCCCGGGAAACUGGGUCUAAUACCGGAUAUUACCUCUUGCCGCAUGGCAGGUGGUGGAAAGAUUUAUCGGUGGGGGAUGGACUCGCGGCCUAUCAGCUUGUUGGUGAGGUAAUGGCUCACCAAGGCGACGACGGGUAGCCGGCCUGAGAGGGUGACCGGCCACACUGGGACUGAGACACGGCCCAGACUCCUACGGGAGGCAGCAGUGGGGAAUAUUGCACAAUGGGCGAAAGCCUGAUGCAGCGACGCCGCGUGAGGGAUGACGGCCUUCGGGUUGUAAACCUCUUUCAGUAGGGAAGAAGCGAAAGUGACGGUACCUGCAGAAGAAGCGCCGGCUAACUACGUGCCAGCAGCCGCGGUAAUACGUAGGGCGCAAGCGUUAUCCGGAUUUAUUGGGCGUAAAGAGCUCGUAGGCGGUUUGUCGCGUCUGCCGUGAAAGUCCGAGGCUCAACCUCGGAUCUGCGGUGGGUACGGGCAGACUAGAGUGAUGUAGGGGAGACUGGAAUUCCUGGUGUAGCGGUGAAAUGCGCAGAUAUCAGGAGGAACACCGAUGGCGAAGGCAGGUCUCUGGGCAUUUACUGACGCUGAGGAGCGAAAGCAUGGGGAGCGAACAGGAUUAGAUACCCUGGUAGUCCAUGCCGUAAACGUUGGGCACUAGGUGUGGGGGACAUUCCACGUUUUCCGCGCCGUAGCUAACGCAUUAAGUGCCCCGCCUGGGGAGUACGGCCGCAAGGCUAAAACUCAAAGGAAUUGACGGGGGCCCGCACAAGCGGCGGAGCAUGCGGAUUAAUUCGAUGCAACGCGAAGAACCUUACCAAGGCUUGACAUGUGCCAGACCGCUUCAGAGAUGGAGUUUCCCUUCGGGGCUGGUUCACAGGUGGUGCAUGGUUGUCGUCAGCUCGUGUCGUGAGAUGUUGGGUUAAGUCCCGCAACG
rnacentral:rRNA from 1 species